rnacentral:rRNA from 1 species
AUUGAACGCUGGCGGCAGGCUUAACACAUGCAAGUCGAGCGAGCGGCGGACGGGUGAGUAAUGUCUGGGAAACUGCCUGAUAGAGGGGGAUAACUACUGGAAACGGUCGCUAAUACCGCAUAACAUCAGAUGUACCCAGAUGGGAUUAGCUAGUAGGUGGGGGAAUGGCUCACCGAGGCGACGAUCCCUAGCUGGUCUGAGAGGAUGACCAGCCAAACUGGAACUGAGAAACGGGCCAGAGUGCUACGGGAGGAAGCAGUGGGGAAUAUUGCACAAUGGGCGCAAGCCUGAUGCAGCCAUGCCGCGUGUGUGAAGAAGGCCUUGGGGUUGUAAAGUACUGUCAGCGGGGAGGCGUUACUCGCAGAAGAAGCACCGGCUAACUCCGUGCCAGCAGCCGCGGUAAUUC